GUAGAGAGAAUUAUUUAUUUCAGCUUUUAUUUCUUUCAUCACAUUCCCAGUGGGUCAGAAGUUUACAUACACUCAAUUAGUAUUUGGUAGCAUUGCCUUUAAAUUGUUUAACUUGGGUCAAACGUUUUGGGUAGCCUUCCACAAGCUUCCCACAAUAAGUUUGUCCCAUUCCUCCUGACAGAGCUGGUGUAACUGAGUCAGGCUUGUAGGCCUCCUUGCUCGCACACGCUUUUUCAGUUCUGCCCACAAAUGUUCUAUAGGUUUGAGGUCAGGGCUUUGUGAUGGCCACUCCAAUACCUUGACUUUGUUGUCCUUAAGCCAUUUUGCCACAACUUUGGAGUAUACUUGGGGUCAUUGUCCAUUUGGAAGACCCAUUUGCAACCUAGCUUUAACUUCCUGACUGAUGUCUUGAGAUGUUGCUUCAAUAUAUCCACAUCAUUUUCCUACCGCAUGAUGCCAUCUAUUUUGUGAAGUGCACCAGUCCCUCCUGCAGCAAAGCACCCCCCACAACAUGAUGCUGCCACCCCCGUGCUUCACGGUUGGGAUGGUGUUCUUCGGCUUGCAAGCCUCCCCCUUUUCCCUCCAUACAUAACGAUGGUCAUUAUGGCCAAACAGUUCUAUUUUUGUUUCAUCAGACCAGAGGACAUUUCUCCAAAAAGUACGAUCUUUGUCCCCAUGUGCAGUUGCAAACCGUAGUCUGGCUUUUUUAUGGUGGUUUUGGAGCAGUGGCUUCUUCCUUGCUGAGCGGCCUUUCAGGUUAUGUCGAUAUAGGACACUUUUUACUGUGGAUAUAGGUACUUUUGUACCUGUUUCUUCCAGCAUCUUCACAAGGUCCUUUGCUGUUGUUCUGGGAUUGAUUUGCAUAUUUCGCAUCUAUCAGAAGCUUCUAAAGCCAUGACAUCAUUUUCUGGAAUUUUACAAGCUGUCAACUUAUAUUUGGUAGCAUUGCCUUUAAAUUGUUUAACUUGGGUCAAACGUUUUGGGUAGCCUUCCACAAGCUUCCCACAAUAAGUUGGGUGAAUUUUGUCCCAUUCCUCCUGAC
rnacentral:lncRNA from 1 species